GCUCAGGAUGAACGCUGGCGGCGUGCUUAACACAUGCAAGUCGAGCGAAGCGCUUUGGAAAGAUUCUUCGGAUGAUUUCCUUUGUGACUGAGCGGCGGACGGGUGAGUAACGCGUGGGUAACCUGCCUCAUACAGGGGGAUAACAGUUAGAAAUGUCUGCUAAUACCGCAUAAGACCACGGUACCGCAUGGUACAGUGGUAAAAACUCCGGUGGUAUGAGAUGGACCCGCGUCUGAUUAGGUAGUUGGUGGGGUAACGGCCUACCAAGCCGACGAUCAGUAGCCGACCUGAGAGGGUGACCGGCCACAUUGGGACUGAGACACGGCCCAGACUCCUACGGGAGGCAGCAGUA
rnacentral:rRNA from 1 species